GACGGAGGGGGCUAGCGUUGUUCGGAAUGACUGGGCGUAAAGGGCGCGUAGGCGGUUUAUUAAGUGAGGCGUGAAAGCCCUGGGCUUAACCCAGGAGGUGCGUUUCAUACUGAUAAGCUAGAGUGCGAGAGAGGAAAGUGGAAUUCCUAGUGUAGAGGUGAAAUUCGUAGAUAUUAGGAAGAACACCAGAGGCGAAGGCGGCUUUCUGGCUCGCAACUGACGCUGAGGCGCGAAAGCGUGGGGAGCAAACAGG
rnacentral:rRNA from 1 species